UGGGGAAUAUUGCACAAUGGAGGGAACUCUGAUGCAGCGACGCCGCGUGAGUGAUGAAGGAAUUCGUUUCGUAAAACUCUGUUCUAUGGGAAGAAAAGGACUGUACCAUAGGAGAAAGCUCCGGCUAAAUACGUGCCAGCAGCCGCGGUAAUACGUAUGGAGCGAGCGUUGUCCGGAAUUAUUGGGCGUAAAGGGUGCGCAGGCGGCUUUACAAUUUGGAUGUGAAAUAUUGUGGCUCAACCACAAACGUGCAUCCAAAACUGCAAAGCUUGAGUUAAGGAGAGGUAAGUGGAAUUCCUGGUGUAGCGGUGGAAUGCGUAGAUAUCAGGAGGAAUACCGGUGGCGAAGGCAACUUACUGGACUUAAACUGACGCUCAGGCACGAAAGCGUGGGGAGCAAACAGG
rnacentral:rRNA from 1 species